CAUGUAGGCGGCAUAACAAGUCUGGUGUGAAAUAUCUCGGCUCAACCGAGGGAACGCACUGGAAACUGUUAAGCUUGAGUAUCGGAGGGGAAGCUAGAAUUCCUGGUGUAGGGGUGAAAUCUGUAGAUAUCAGGAAGAAUACCGGUGGCGAAGGCGAGCUUCUGGCCAGAUACUGACGCUGAGAUGCGAAAGCGUGGGGAGCGAACAGGAUUAGAUACCCUGGUAGUCC
rnacentral:rRNA from 1 species